GCGGUAUCCCUACCGUGCUAAGGUAGCAUAAUCAUUUGCCUUUUAAUUGGAGGCUAGUAUGAAUGGGUAAACGAAAUUUCAACUUUAUUGUUUUUAUAAUAUAAAAUUUAGAAUUUAGGUGAAGAUACCUAAAUAAAUUUGAAAGACAAGAAGACCCUAUAGAGUUUUAAAUUAAUGAUAAUGUAAAAUAAUUUUUGGUUGGGGCGACUAAAGAUUUUAUAAACAUCUUUUAUUAAAACGAAAUAUUUUUCUAAAUAUUUGAUCCUAGUUGUAGAUAAAUAAAAUAAACUACCUUAGGGAUAACAGGCUUAUCUUUCUAAAGAGUUCAAAUUGACAGAAAGGUUUGGCACCUCGAUGUUGGCUUAGAGUAACCUAUUAAUGUAGAAGUUAAUUAAGGUCAGUUUGUUCAACUGUUAAAUCUCUACGUGAUCU
rnacentral:rRNA from 1 species